GAUGAACGCUGGCGGCGUGCCUAAUACAUGCAAGUCGAGCGAACGGACGAGAAGCUUGCUUCUCUGAUGUUAGCGGCGGACGGGUGAGUAACACGUGGAUAACCUACCUAUAAGACUGGGAUAACUUCGGGAAACCGGAGCUAAUACCGGAUGAUAUUUUGAACCGCAUGGUUCAAAAGUGAAAGACGGUCUUGCUGUCACUUAUAGAUGGAUCCGCGCUGCAUUAGCUAGUUGGUAAGGUAACGGCUUACCAAGGCAACGAUGCAUAGCCGACCUGAGAGGGUGAUCGGCCACACUGGAACUGAGACACGGUCCAGACUCCUACGGGAGGCAGCAGUAGGGAAUCUUCCGCAAAGGGCGAAAGCCUGACGGAGCAACGCCGCGUGAGUGAUGAAGGUCUUCGGAUCGUAAAACUCUGUUAUUAGGGAAGAACAUAUGUGUAAGUAGCUGUGCACAUCUUGACGGUACCUAAUCAGAAAGCCACGGCUAACUACGUG
rnacentral:rRNA from 1 species